CCUACGGGAGGCAGCAGUGGGGAAUCUUGCACAAUGGGCGAAAGCCUGAUGCAGCAACGCCGCGUGCGGGAAGAAGGCCCUAGGGUUGUAAACCGCUUUCAGUAGGGAAGAAAAUGACGGUACCUACAGAAGAAGGUGCGGCCAACUACGUGCCAGCAGCCGCGGUGACACGUAGGCACCAAGCGUUAUCCGGAUUUAUUGGGCGUAAAGAGCUCGUAGGCGGUUCGGUAAGUCGGGUGUGAAAACUCUGGGCUCAACCCAGAGAGGCCACCCGAUACUGCUGUGACUAGAGUGCGGUAGGGGAGCGGGGAAUUCCUGGUGUAGCGGUGAAAUGCGCAGAUAUCAGGAGGAACACCAGCGGCGAAGGCGCCGCUCUGGGCCGUAACUGACGCUGAGGAGCGAAAGCAUGGGUAGCAAACAGGAUUAGAUACCCUGGUAGUCCAUGCCGUAAACGUUGGGCACUAGGUGUGGGUCUCAACCAACGAGAUCCGCGCCGUCGCUAACGCAUUAAGUGCCCCGCCUGGGGAGUACGGUCGCAAGACUAAAACUUAAAGGAAUUGACGG
rnacentral:rRNA from 1 species